UACAGAGGUCUCAAGCGUUGUUCGGAUUCACUGGGCGUAAAGGGUGCGUAGGCGGGUUUUUAAGUCAGGGGUGAAAUCCUGGAGCUCAACUCCAGAACUGCCUUUGAUACUGGCGAUCUCGAGUCCGGGAGAGGUGAGUGGAACUGCGAGUGUAGAGGUGAAAUUCGUAGAUAUUCGCAAGAACACCAGUGGCGAAGGCGGCUCACUGGCCCGGUACUGACGCUGAGGUGCGAAAGCGUGGGGAGCAAACAGG
rnacentral:rRNA from 1 species